UACGUAGGGACCAAGCGUUGUUCGGAUUUACUGGGCGUAAAGGGCGCGUAGGCGGCAAUUCAAGUCAUCUGUGAAACUCUCCGGGCUUAACCCGGAACGGUCAGAUGAUACUGCUUUGCUAGAGUGGCGGAAGGGGCAAUCGGAAUUCUCGGUGUAGCGGAUGAAAUGCGUAGAUAUCGAGAGGAACACCUGAGGUGAAGACGGGUUGCUCGGGCCGACACUGACGCUGAGUGCGCGAAAGCCAGGGGAGGCAAACGGG
rnacentral:rRNA from 1 species